UAUCACAUAUCAAAAAACAAUUGCGAUGGCUUCAGCAAAAAUUUUCUUGAAUUUCCUUUUGGCUGCAUUAAUCGCAACCCCCAUUGCAGUAGCCCAGCUUGUUUCAAUAUAUAUAUACACACUGCCCUAUAUAGACUAAAAACUCUACCCUAUAUAUACACUAAAAUCUUAUGAUAGAAGUCCUAAGUGGCGUUAUUAGCCUAUGAUAUAUUGGUAUAUAUACACUAUCGGAUCAUCCAAAGAAUAACUACAAGUAAAUUUUCUUAAAAUGUAGGAAGAUGAUUUGAAGUCUAAGAGAAUGAUAAUGCAUCUAUUAUUCCUUUCGUAACAAUUGAUGCAUCAGUGCAAUUGCAGUGUGGAGCAAGAAAUGUGGUAUCAAUUACAACAACAAAUGGAUCUGGAGUGUUUUCCUUGGUGUUGGAUCCUCUUGUAAAUACUUUGCCAUUGCUGCUAUCCAACUGCAGUCUAGUGGUUGCAACUCCACUCUCAACAUGUAACGCGAGCUUACCAGCUGAAGGGCUUUUGCAAUCACCCUUGCAGCUAGUAAAUACCAUUAUUGGAAGUAUCGGCCUUCGUCCUAGUGUCAUUUUAGGUCCUACUGGUUUUCGACUUGAUCUUAAUCGCAAUUUAUAGUUAACGAGCUAGCCUAGAUAUUCACCUUAGAUGCUAGUGCUUAAUUAGUACUACUAUGCAUCAGCUAGUUAAUUAACCUUCUUGGCCAGCUGCUUACUGGAUAAAUAAGGAUUGUUGUUUCCACUAGUGAAUAAAGUACAAAUAAUAUUUGCAAGUCAAAUAUUGGAGCCAUCUAAUCGUAUUGCUUGUGUUUUUAUUUUGUUUAUA